AGUGAACGCUGGCGGCGUGCUUAACACAUGCAAGUCGAACGAGAACGGGAUAUAGCUUGCUAUAUUUGUCAGCUAAGUGGCGCACGGGUGAGUAAUGUAUAGAUAACCUGCCCUCUAGAAAGGAAUAACAGUUGGAAACGACUGCUAAUGCCCUAUAUGCCUUUAAUACAUAAGUAUGCAAGGGAAACGCUUUAGUGCUAGAGGAUGGGUCUGUAUGGUAUCAGCCUGUUGGUGAGGUAAUGGCUCACCAAGGCUAUGACGCCUAACUGGUUUGAGAGGAUGAUCAGUCACACUGGAACUGAGACACGGUCCAGACUCCUACAGGAGGCAGCAGUGGGGAAUAUUGCACAAUGGACGAAAGUCUGAUGCAGCAACGCCGCGUGGAGGAUGACACAUUUCGGUGCGUAAACUCCUUUUAUAUAGGAAGAUAGUGACGGUAUCCCUUUAGAAAGCACCGGCUAACUCUGUGCCAGCCGCCGCCGUAA
rnacentral:rRNA from 1 species